rnacentral:rRNA from 1 species
CUACAAGGGUAUCUAAUCCUGUUCGCUACCCAUGCUUUCGCUCCUCAGCGUCAGUUACUACCCAGAGACCCGCCUUCGCCACCGGUGUUCCUCCUGAUAUCUGCGCAUUUCACCGCUACACCAGGAAUUCCAGUCUCCCCUGUAGUACUCAAGUCUGCCCGUAUCGCCUGCACGCCCCCGGUUAAGCCGAGGGAUUUCACAGACGACGUGACAAACCGCCUACGAGCUCUUUACGCCCAGUAAUUCCGGACAACGCUCGCACCCUACGUAUUACCGCGGCUGCUGGCAC